rnacentral:rRNA from 1 species
CUCGUAGGCGGCCGACUAAGUCGGAUGUGAAAUCCCCAGGCUCAACCUGGGAACUGCAUCCGAUACUGGAUGGCUUGAAUCCGGGAGAGGGAUGCAGAAUUCCAGGUGUAGCGGUGAAAUGCGUAGAUAUCUGGAGGAAUACCGGUGGCGAAGGCGGCAUCCUGGACCGGCGUUGACGCUGAGGAGCGAAAGCUAGGGAGCAAACG